UAUUUAGUAUUUUAAUUGAAAAUAUCGAUUUUGUAAAUCGGAGAUAAUUGUUAUUCUAAAUAA
rnacentral:tRNA from 1 species